rnacentral:rRNA from 1 species
UACAGAGGUCCCAAGCGUUGUUCGGAUUCACUGGGCGUAAAGGGUGCGUAGGUGGCUGGGUAAGUUUGGUGUGAAAGCUCGGAGCUUAACUCCGAAAUGGCAUUGAAUACUAUCUGGCUUGAGGGUCGGAGGGGAGACUGGAAUUCUCGGUGUAGCAGUGAAAUGCGUAGAGAUCGAGAGGAACACCAGUGGCGAAGGCGAGUCUCUGGACGACACCUGACACUGAGGCACGAAAGCUAGGGGAGCAAACAGG